rnacentral:piRNA from 1 species
UUGAACAGAGGAGUGCCUUGAUUGAU